GCAAGUCGAACGGCAGCACGAAGAGCUUGCUCUUUGGUGGCGAGUGGCGGACGGGUGGGUAACACUUAGGAAUCUAUCCAGUAGCUGGGGAUAACCCGGAGAAAUCCGGGCUAAUACCGAAUACGCACUAUGGUGGAAAGAGGGGGAUCUUUCGGGACCUCUCACUAUUGGGUGAGCCUAAGCCGGAUUAGCUGGUUGGUGGGGUAAUGGCCUACCAAGGCGACGAUCCGUAGCUGGUCUGAGAGGACGAUC
rnacentral:rRNA from 1 species